AUUCCAGCUCCAAUAGCGUAUAUUUAAGUUGUUGCAGUUAAAAAGCUCGUAGUUGGAUUUCGGAUGGGUUUGACCGGUCCGCCUUUGGUGUGCACUGGUCGCGCCUAUCUUGCUGUCGGGGACGCGCUCCUGGCCUUAAUUGGCUGGGACGCGGAGUCGGCGAUGUUACUUUGAAAAAAUUAGAGUGUUCAAAGCGGGCCUAAGCCCUGAAUACAUUAGCAUGGAAUAACGCUAUAGGACUCUGGUCUUAUUGCGUUGGUCUUCGAGACCGGAGUAAUGAUUAAGAGGGACAGUUGGGGGCAUUCGUAUUUCAUUGUCAGAGGUGAAAUUCUUGGAUUUAUGAAAGACGAACUUCUGCGAAAGCAUUUGCCAAGGAUGUUUUCAUUA
rnacentral:rRNA from 1 species